GAUGAAGAACGUAGUGAAAUGCGAUAAGUAAUGUGAAUUGCAGAAUUCAGUGAAUCAUCGAAUCUUUGAACGCACAUUGCGCCCGCCAGUAUUCUGGCGGGCAUGCCUGUUCGAGCGUCAUUUCAACCCUCAGGACCCUUUGGACCUGGUGUUGGGGCUCGGCCGCUACCCCGCGGCCGUCCCCGAAAGAUAGUGGCGGUCUCGCUGUAGCGUCCUCUGCGUAGUAAUUACACCUCGCACUGGAACGCGGCGCGGCCAAGCCGUUAAACACCCCACUUCUCAAGGUUGACCUCGGAUCAGGUAGGAAUACCCGCUGAACUUAAGCAUAUCAAUAAGCGGAGGA
rnacentral:misc_RNA from 1 species